UGGGGAAUAUUGCACAAUGGGCGAAAGCCUGAUGCAGCGACGCCGCGUGAGGGAUGACGGCCUUCGGGUUGUAAACCUCUUUCAGCAGGGACGAAGCGCAAGUGACGGUACCUGCAGAAGAAGCACCGGCUAACUACGUGCCAGCAGCCGCGGUAAUACGUAGGGUGCAAGCGUUGUCCGGAAUUACUGGGCGUAAAGAGUUCGUAGGCGGUUUGUCGCGUCGUUUGUGAAAACCAGCAGCUCAACUGCUGGCUUGCAGGCGAUACGGGCAGACUUGAGUACUGCAGGGGAGACUGGAAUUCCUGGUGUAGCGGUGAAAUGCGCAGAUAUCAGGAGGAACACCGGUGGCGAAGGCGGGUCUCUGGGCAGUAACUGACGCUGAGGAGCGAAAGCGUGGGUAGCGAACAGG
rnacentral:rRNA from 1 species